GCUGCCCUGCGAGACGUUGUCCUCCAGGUCGCUCUGGCACCCCUCGUCGUUGAGCGAGUUCUGCUUGGUGACCUUGGAUGACAGCAGCUUCACCAAGUCGGUGAGC
rnacentral:pre_miRNA from 13 species